AUGCAGAAACUUUUCAAGAUGAGUGACCUUGGUCUCCUAACCUACUACGUGGGGAUCGAAGUAACUCAGUCCAAAGGAGAGAUUACCUUGUGUCAGCGAGGAUAUGCAGAGAAGAUCAUCGAACAUGCUGGGAUGGCUGGCUGCAAUCAUUGCAACACCCCCAUGGAGUGCAAACUGAAGCUGAAAAAGGAAGAUGAUGCAAAACCCUUUGACCCAUCCCUCUACCGAAGAAUAAUUGGCAGUCUAAGAUAUCUUGUACACUCAAGGCCAGACAUCACACACGCUGUUGGGAUUGUGAGCAGAUUCAUGGAAAAACCAACCAACACACACUGGACAGCUGUUAAGCAAAUCCUCAGGUAUGUGCAAGGGACUUUGAGCUAUGGAUGUCGUUAUGUGCGUGGAGGGAGAGGAGACAUUUUGGGAUACAGUGACAGCGAUCAUACAGGAGAUGUGGGAGAUCGCAAGAGCACCUCGGGGCAUAUCUUCUUUCUUGGUAAGAAUCCGAUUACUUGGACCUCCCAGAAGCAGAAAGUGGUGGCGAUUAGCUCGUGUGAGGCCGAGUAUGUGGCCGCUGCUGCAGCAACUUGCCAAGGUCUCUGGCUGAGCAGACUGAUCUCAGAGAUGAAGGGAGUAGAUCCAAGGAAGUUCAAACUUUUGAUUGACAACAAGUCUGCCAUUGCAUUGGCGAAGAAUCCUGUCCAUCACGAUCGUAGUAAGCAUAUCGAUGUGAAGUUCCACUUCAUUAGAGAUUGCAUUGAGCAAGGACAGGUGGAAGUUGAUCAUGUUGGAACUGAACAGCAGCUAGCUGAUAUUCUGACCAAAGCUCUUGGGCGUGUGCGCUUUGUGGAGAUGAGGCAGAAGAUGGGCGUCAGCAAAAUCAUCAAAGGCCAACAAGCUUAA
rnacentral:rRNA from 1 species